rnacentral:rRNA from 1 species
UGGGAAAAGCCCAGCGCUGAAUCCAUCGAUCACUGGUCGCUUGGAAUUGUAGCGUAUAGGUGCGGCUGUCCGCUCGUUUCGUGCACCCAAAGUCCCCUUGAGCGGGGCCAUAGUCCAAAGAAGGUGCUAGACCUGUACGGGUGGCGAGACGAUCGGUUGGUCGCUCCUUGGAGUCGGGUUGCCUGGGAUCGCAGCCCAAAGUUGGUGGUAGACCUCAUCUAAGGCUAAAUAUGGCCACGAAACCGAUAGCAAACAAGUACCGUGAGGGAAAGUUGCAAAGAACUUUGAAGAGAGAGUUCAAGAGGGCGUGAAACCGCCGAGAUUGAAACGGAUAGAGUUGACGAAACUCGAUCGCAUUCAUCCGAUCCGCCUAGCGGUUCGGCGGUUGUUGACUUCCUCGAUGAGGGCAACGCCGUCGCUGGCUGUUGGGUGUUAGAUGGGUGUAUUUGCGGUCGGUAUGCGCCGAGAGCUUUGCAAACGCAUGUUGGCGUUGGUGUAGUGGACCACUCCCUACGGGCGUGGAACCCUGCACUGACUGAGGCAUGUCGUUGGUAGGGUGUUGCUGGUUGACGUCUCCGCUAUGGUGCGUCGGCUUUGUUGGACUGUUGUGGCUACUGGGUGAUCGCAUGCGAGCGCCUGUGGUUUACGAUAGUACAAUGAGGUGCAGACGCGCUUGGGACGUGCAUCUCGGUGUGAACGUUGACCACCUAUCCGACC